rnacentral:tRNA from 1 species
GGCUCGUUCGUCUAGCGGUAAAGGAUUCCACUCUUUCACGGUGGAGACAUGGGUUCGAAUACCAUACGAGUCA